AUACGUAGGGGACAAGCGUUGUCCGGAAUGACUGGGCGUAAAGGGCGCGUAGGCGGUCUAUUAAGUCUGAUGUGAAAGGUACCGGCUCAACCGGUGAAGUGCAUUGGAAACUGGUAGACUUGAGUAUUGGAGAGGCAAGUGGAAUUCCUAGUGUAGCGGUGAAAUGCGUAGAUAUUAGGAGGAACACCAGUGGCGAAGGCGGCUUGCUGUACAAAUUCUGGCGCGGAGGUGCGAAAGCGUGGGGAGCGAACAGGAUUAGAUACCCUGGUUGUCCACGCCGUAAACGAUGAAUGCUAGGUGUUGGGGAAACUCAGUGCCGCAGUUAACACAAUAAGCAUUCCGCCUGGGGAGUACGACCGCAAGGUUGAAACUCAAAUGAAUUGACGGGG
rnacentral:rRNA from 1 species